rnacentral:rRNA from 1 species
UACAGAGGUCUCAAGCGUUGUCCGGAAUUAUUGGGCGUAAAGAGCUCGUAGGCGGCUUGUCACGUCGGUUGUGAAAGCCCGGGGCUUAACCCCGGGUCUGCAGUCGAUACGGGCAGGCUAGGGUUCGGUAGGGGAGAUCGGAAUUCCUGGUGUAGCGGUGAAAUGCGCAGAUAUCAGGAGGAACACCGGUGGCGAAGGCGGAUCUCUGGGCCGAUACUGACGCUGAGGAGCGAAAGCGUGGGGAGCGAACAGG